UUUUAGGCUUAUAUGGAGAUAAAGAAAAAAAUUUAUUUUUAUUUUUUUUGGAUCGUUGAGGUCCGUGGUGUAAUUUUUGGCUUUUAUGUAAAUCUACAUGUAAAUUAAAGUGGGAAUUUUGUAAUGAAAUUUAUAAAUUAAAUAAAGAGAUUCUCAGUGGAAAGUUUUAAUAAUAUAAUAAUUUUUUAUUUAGAUAAUGUAAGAGAGGUGGAAAAUGGCGUGCCAGCAGCCGCGGUUAUACUUUAGCCUCAAGUUAAAAUUUAUUUACAAAAUUUUGUCUUUGCAACUUAUAUUAGAAUUUGUUUUUAUUUUAGGGUAGAAUCUUAAUAGGAAGAAAUAAUAAUAGUGUAAGACAUAUUACUUAUUUUAUGGACCAGGAUUAGAUACCCUGUUACUUUUAUGUAAGUUUUUUUGGAUUAAUAAUGUUAAUGAAAUUUAACGGAUUUGGCGGCAAGAUAGCCCCUUAGAGGAACCUGCCCUGUAAACGAUGAACCACGAGUACUUUACUUUCUUUUGUAGGUCAGUUUGUAUAUCGCUGUUGUCAGUUGAAUUUUAGAAAAUAUUUUCGUUAAUGAAAAAAUCAUUGACUUCAAGUAAAGGUGUAGCUUAUAGGAAAGAUAGAGGUGGGUUACAUUUAGAAGAUUAAAAUGGAUUGGAAAAAGAAAUAUUUCAUGAAGGUGGAUUUAACAGUAAAAUUUAAUAAAGUUUGAUUGGAGCUCUAUCUUGUGUACACACCGCCCGUCGCUCUCUUUUUUAAAACGAGAUAAGUCGUAACAAGGUAAGUGUAAUGGAAAUUGUACUUGA
rnacentral:ncRNA from 1 species